rnacentral:lncRNA from 1 species
UCUGCCCUCCUAAAUAAAAUCUCCUGUUGCUAUCGUCCCAGUAACUGAGGAGUUGGUCUACAACUGCCCCCUCCUGUAUGAUGAUUGGGACGUCAAGCAUAUAGUAGAAAGUUGUCUACUAUAUCAAUCUUUUAUGGGCAUCCGUCAAUAGCUCUCGGAUAUCCCUGAUGAAGUUCAUGUAUUGCCGCAGAUAGCAGCGAUAAUUUAUCAAUCGGGGG